GCAUAACGCGAAGAACCUUACCUGGGUUUGACAUGGCCGCAAAACUGUCAGAGAUGGCAGGUCCUUCGGGGGCGGUCACAGGUGGUGCAUGGCUGUCGUCAGCUCGUGUCGUGAGAUGUUGGGUUAAGUCCCGCAACGAGCGCAACCCUCGUUCGAUGUUGCCAGCGCGUUAUGGCGGGGACUCAUCGAAGACUGCCGGGGUCAACUCGGAGGAAGGUGGGGAUGACGUCAAGUCAUCAUGCCCCUUAUGUCCAGGGCUUCACGCAUGCUACAAUGGCCGGUACAAUGGGCUGCGAUACCGUGAGGUGGAGCGAAUCCCAAAAAGCCGGUCUCAGUUCGGAUCGGGGUCUGCAACUCGACCCCGUGAAGUCGGAGUCGCUAGUAAUCGCAGAUCAGCAACGCUGCGGUGAAUACGUUCCCGGGUCUUGUACACACCG
rnacentral:rRNA from 1 species